rfam:Triticum aestivum genome assembly, contig: Triticum_aestivum_CS42_TGACv1_scaffold_609644_7DL
GUAGUACUCCCUCCGUUCGGAAUUACUUGUCACAAAAAUGGAUGUAUCUACAACUAAAAUACAGGUAGAUACAUUCAUUUCUUGGACGAGUAAUUCCGAAAGGAGGGAGUAUGUA